GAUGAACGCUGGCGGCGUGCCUAAUACAUGCAAGUCGAGCGAACAGACGAGGAGCUUGCUCCUCUGACGUUAGCGGCUGACGGGUGAGUAACACGUGGAUAACCUACCUAUAAGACUGGGAUAACUUCGGGAAACCGGAUCUAAUACCGGAUAAUAAAUUGAACCGCAUGGUUCAAUAGUGAAAGACGGUUUUGCUGUCACUUAUAGAUGGAUCCGCGCCGCAUUAGCUAGUUGGUAAGGUAACGGCUUACCAAGGCAACGAUGCGUAGCCGACCUGAGAGGGUGAUCGGCCACACUGGAACUGAGACACGGUCCAGACUCCUACGGGAGGCAGCAGUAGGGAAUCUUCCGCAAUGGGCGAAAGCCUGACGGAGCAACGCCGCGUGAGUGAUGAAGGUCUUCGGAUCGUAAAACUCUGUUAUUAGGGAAGAACAAAUGUGUAAGUAACUAUGCACGUCUUGACGGUACCUAAUCAGAAAGCCACGGCUAACUACGUG
rnacentral:rRNA from 1 species